GGGCUUGACAUCCCACGAACCUGCCUGAAAGGGUAGGGUGCCCGCAAGGGAGCGUGGAGACAGGUGGUGCAUGGCUGUCGUCAGCUCGUGUCGUGAGAUGUUGGGUAAGUCCCGCAACGAGCGCAACCCUCACCCCUAGUUGCCACCGGGUAAAGCCGAGCACUCGAGGGGAACUGCCAGCGUCAAGCUGGAGGAAGGCGGGGAUGACGUCAAGUCAUCAUGCCCCUUACGUCCUGGGCUACACACGUGCUACAAUGGCCAGUACAGAGGGAUGCGAGACCGCGAGGUGGAGCCAAUCCCAAAAAGCUGGUCUAAGUUCAGAUUGCAGUCUGCAACUCGACUGCAUGAAGUAGGAAUCGCUAGUAAUCGCGCAUCAGCACGGCGCGGUGAAUACGUUCCCGGGCCUUGUACACACCGCCCGUCACACCACGAAAGCUGGCUGUACUCGAAGUCGCUGAG
rnacentral:rRNA from 1 species